CCGUAGGUCUCUCCUGGCAGCGAAUACACCGAAGACUUUGAGGGGGCCCCUACCGGCAGCCCACCAGGCGGCCCCUACACCAUGCUGGAGUUUGCCAAGAAGUAUUUCCGAGAAGGGCAGAGGGCAAAGAUGUGAGUGCGUGCGGACGGACAUGGGGCCUGGAAUCCUUUAGGGCUUGGUUGCAGUCGAGAAAUCGGAGGCCGUCGUCUCAAGCUUGUUGUGUCAGAGUUCCUAUCCUGAGACCGCAGUCCCCUCUGUAAGAGAAAAAGGAAAUUCCGGGCUGCUGCCACCACGCCCACCCUCCUCUGCAUACCAGUUAGUUAGAACACCCCUGCUAUUGUUUACGUGCGUGAUGGCAUACCCUGGGAUGGAAGAGAGGGACCCCAGCAAAGUAAAAUCCAAGAAAGGCGUUGAAUCGAAGGGUGUGGAAGAUAUCCUGAAAUUCACCAAGUCCCCUAUCCAAGAGUCGCUCAUUGAAUUCACAGACAGCAGCCUGAACAAAGUUGCAGCAGAGACCUUCCAAGGUG